UACAGAGGUCCCAAGCGUUGUUCGGAUUCACUGGGCGUAAAGGGUGCGUAGGUGGCGAGGUAAGUCGGAUGUGAAAGCUCGGAGCUCAACUCCGAAAUGGCAUUGGAAACUACCUUGCUUGAGGGUUGGAGGGGGGACUGGAAUUCUCGGUGUAGCAGUGAAAUGCGUAGAUAUGUCACAGAACACCAAUUGCGAAGGCAGCUUACUAUGGUAUGAUUGACGCUGAGGCACGAAAGCGUGGGGAUCAAACAGG
rnacentral:rRNA from 1 species